rnacentral:rRNA from 1 species
UCCCAGACUCCUACGGGAGGCAGCAGUGAGGAAUAUUGGUCAAUGGCGGAGAGGCUGAACCAGCCAAGUCGCGUGAGGGAAGACGGCCCUACGGGUUGUAAACCUCUUUUGUCGGGGAGCAAAGCGAGUCACGUGUGACUCAUUGAGAGUACCCGAAGAAAAAGCAUCGGCUAACUCCGUGCCAGCAGCCGCGGUAAUACGGAGGAUGCGAGCGUUAUCCGGAUUUAUUGGGUUUAAAGGGUGCGCAGGCGGGGGUGCAAGUCAGCGGUCAAAUGGCGGGGCUCAAACCCGUACUGCCGUUGAAACUGGCGUUCUUGAGUGAGCGAGAAGUAUGCGGAAUGCGUGGUGUAGCGGUGAAAUGCAUAGAUAUAACGCAGAACUCCGAUUGCGCAGGCAGCGUACCGGCGCCCAACUGACGCUC